GUAGUGGUAGAACCUGGUGAAUCAGUUUCAACUUGUUGAGAUUUGUCUCAAUCUUCAUGGGGAAUAACAUUGAAACUAAAACUUGGUUGAAAGUUGCCCUUCUUGGACCAAGUGGUGGUGGAAAAACCACGAUUGCAAACUUAAUUGAGAGAUGUUACGAUCCUUUGAAGGGAGAGGUUUUGUUAAAUGGAGUUCCUUUAGUGGAAAUAUCUCAUGAAUAUCUUCACAAAAAGUUAAUAUAAAAAAAA